UGGAGAAAUUCAAUUUCUCCACGUUAAAACCCGCCUCCUAGCAUUCCUCCCGGGAUGCAGUUGCAUAAAUCUAAAAAUGAUUCUUAUGCACCAUAACCGCAACCUUCCUCCCGCAUGAAUGAAGUCUCUCAACAACAAAAAAGAACCAUUCACUCACACUUUCUCUUUUUUUUUUUUCUUUCUCCUUCUCAAUGGACAAAGAAACCGACCUAUGAUAAGGUGAAAUCGACACCAUCCUCUCUCCUCUCUGUCUCUCCGCCCGAUGACGACAACAUCUAUCGACGCUGUCUUAACCUCCCACGAUCAAAUUGUCUGAUCUAUUUCAAAAUCCAUCUCAUAGGCACAAGUUGUCCAAUUCAAUGAAACCAGUGAAGUGCUCAAAUAAUACAGUUUCCAAGACUGACUCAAAUGGCAAUAGCAUGCUAGAAAACCACCUAGAUGACAUGAGUGAAAAGAAGGACCUGGAACCUAAAGUAGGAAAAAUCUUGGAGGAUAAUGAAGUCAAAGAUUUGGAGGAUGAUAUGAAAGCAAUGGUAGUUGAUAAAAAAAACUGAUGGGGAGGAAGAACUAGAAAUGGAAGAUGAUAAAAAAACUGAUGAUGGUGAUGUCAUAACAGAUGACGAUACCAAAAUUGGUGGUUGGGAAGGAAUAAAAGAGGAUAAGAAAGUUGAUGAAGGGAAAGAAACAAAAGAGGAUGAGAAAGAUGUUGGCAUAUGAAGUAUCAGGAGAUGAUUUUGUGAAUGAAACAGAAGAAAAUAAGAAAAAUGAUCAUGGGUUUGAGGAUGGCAAAUUUGGUGAGGAAACUAUGGAUAGUAAAAAAGCGAGAGAAAGCGUUGAAUUGAAGCUAAGAAACCCGAAUUAGAAGUCAUGGAAGAAGAGAUUAUCCCUGAAGACAACGAUGAGGGCAGUGAAAAGGAGAAAAGUCAAGAAGAGGGGGAGGAUGAUAAGUCAAAUGAAGAUGUCAAAGUGGAGGAAGGAUUGGAAAAAUGCAGGAAAGGAAAGGUCGAAGGGUAGAAGGUGAAAAAGGAAAACGAAGGAACAAAAGGAGAUAGAGGAUAUCCCUGAAGUCAAAUAUGAGAGCAGUGAAAAGGAGAAAAGCCGAGAAAAGGAGUUGGAUGGUAAGGAUAAGGUUGACAAUAAGUCAAAUGAAGAUGGUUAUUCUGAAGAUAUUGAAGUUGAGAAAGGAAUAAAAAAGUGUGGGAGAGGAGGAAACAACCAUUAGGAGGUGAAAAAGAAAAUAAAGGAACUGAAGGAGACAGAGCCAACAACUCCUACAACCAACCGUCCUGUACGUGAAUGGAAAUCAAUUCAGAGGUUGGUAGAAAUCAUAUGACAGAGAUGCAUCCAAAGAAUUUAAAGUUGAAAAGCUGCGAUUAAGUAAAAUAUAUUAAGGUUUUCUGGUUGUGUAGCAUGAAAAUGAGGAAAUGCUAAUGAUUAAAGUAAAGAAAAAAAUUUGACAAACGUAAUAAAGAGAAGUUGCUGGAAUUCUCUGAUGUGCUUGACAUACCAGUUGGGAAUGCAAAUUCAAGGAAGGUUUGUUGGUUUAACCCUACUGACGCAUUUGUUGUGGCAGCCUGCCAGUGCAGGCACGGACACUAGAUAAUAGUCGUGUUCAUGUUGUACUCUUCGGAUGCUACUAGUAAUUUGUAAAUAUUUUACAUCUAUUUUUUAUUUUUAUAUCAACACCGGUUGGAAUACCACAACAAUUAGAUAAUCUUUAGCAAUUUAUUACAUGAUUAUGUACAACGAAUGCCCCAAGCAAUUCAAUACAGGAAAAAAGCGCAUAGCAAAACAAGGCACAAGUUGUCCAAUUCAAUGAAACUAGUGAAGUGCUCAGAUAAUUCAGUUUCCAAGACUGAUUCAAAUGGCAAUAGCAUGCUAGAGAACCACCUAGAUGAUACGAGUGAAAAGAAGGACCAAGGACCUAAUGUAGGAAAAAUCUUGGAGGAUAAUGAAGUCAAAGACUUGGAGAUGGUAUGAAAGCAAUGGAAGUUGAUAAAAAAAAAACUGAUAAUCACAUGAAUUAAAUACGACACAAAUUUAUAAGAUUCACAUGGCAGUACAUUAUCAGAA